rnacentral:rRNA from 1 species
GAUGAACGCUGGCGGCGUGCCUAAUACAUGCAAGUCGAGCGAACAGACGAGGAGCUUGCUCCUCUGAUGUUAGCGGCGGACGGGUGAGUAACACGUGGAUAACCUACCUAUAAGACUGGGAUAACUUCGGGAAACCGGAGCUAAUACCGGAUAACAUGUUGAACCGCAUGGUUCAACAGUGAAAGACGGUCUUGCUGUCACUUAUAGAUGGAUCCGCGCCGCAUUAGCUAGUUGGUAAGGUAACGGCUUACCAAGGCAACGAUGCGUAGCCGACCUGAGAGGGUGAUCGGCCACACUGGAACUGAGACACGGUCCAGACUCCUACGGGAGGCAGCAGUAGGGAAUCUUCCGCAAUGGGCGAAAGCCUGACGGAGCAACGCCGCGUGAGUGAAGAAGGUCUUCGGAUCGUAAAACUCUGUUAUUAGGGAGGAACAAAUGUGUAAGUAGCUAUGCACGUCUUGACGGUACCUAAUCAGAAAGCCACGGCUAACUACGUG